rnacentral:rRNA from 1 species
UACGUAGGAUGCAAGCGUUGUCCGGAAUUAUUGGGCGUAAAGAGCGAGCAGGCGGUUUGGAAAGUUGGACGUGAAGUUUUAGGGCUUAACCCUAAAGGGUCGUCCAAAACUCCCAGACUAGAGUGCAGGAGAGGAAAAGCGGAAUUCCCGGUGUAGUGGUGAAAUGCGUAGAUAUCGGGAGGAACACCAGAGGCGAAGGCGGCUUUUCUGGCCUGUAACUGACGCUGAGGCGCGAAGGCUGGGGUAGCGAACAGG